CGACGUGGAGAACCUGCCGUAUACUGGGGGAUAACACUUAGAAAUAGGUGCUAAUACCGCAUAAGCGCACAGCUUCGCAUGAAGCAGUGUGGAAAACAAAAAGCUAAAGCUUUUGGUGGUAUACGAUGGAUCCGCGUCUGAUUAGCUUGUUGGCGGGGUAAAGGCCCACCAAGGCGACGAUCAGUAGCCGGCCUGAGAGGGUGAACGGCCACAUUGGGACUGAGACACGGCCCAAACUCCUACGGGAGGCAGCAG
rnacentral:rRNA from 1 species